UGAGACCUUUUCACAAAAGGAACUAGUAAACUAAAAUGCCUAUUAAGGGGCUGUUUGGAUAUUUAAAAAUUCCUUACUUUUUUUUUGAACUUGGUAACUUAAAAAUUCCUCACUUUUUGGAAAAUAAUUUUGAAACAUUGUUUAACUUUGUUACACCAUAAUAAUAUUUUGGUUAGUUUUUGAUGAUAAGUUUUUCAAGUCUGAAAAUUUGGGACCAGUUUUUCCGUGAGCUUCUCUUUCCCACUCACAAAACUUAAUUUUUUUCAAGUGAAAUACAUAUUCAAACAUAACUUCAACUUCAAAAACUCUUCUUUGCAAGUUUCAACCAAAUUAUGCUCAACACUUACUAACACUUCCAGAAAAUCAUGUCUUUUGUUUCUUCAUUCUCUUCUGUCCUAAUUAUAAUUAAACAAUAUUUCCAGUAGCAUCUAAAUAAUUAAGAGACUGUCUAACAGAGCUCAUGAUAAUAUUGAAACGAAGGUUAAGCUGCCAAUACGAGGAGCAAUCCACACAAAAAAAUGCAUCACUUCAUUAAAAGAGAAUGUCUAACAGAGCUCAUGAUACUAUUGAAAAUUUGAAAUGAAGGUUAAGCUGCCAAUACGAGGAACAAUCCACACAAAAAAAUGCAUCACUUGGUUAAAUAGGAACAAUGAUCAUCAUGUACCACACUUCACAUGGUCAAAUUUAACAUACUUACA
rnacentral:lncRNA from 1 species